GCCAUCUUAGCUCAGUUGGUAGAGCAAUUGUUUUGUAAACAAUCGGUCGUCGGUUCGAGUCCGACAGAUGGCU
rnacentral:tRNA from 1 species